rnacentral:rRNA from 1 species
CCGAAUGGGGGAACCCAACUGAUACUUUGUUAUUGUUACACUUUGUGUAAUCAAUAAUGGGGUAAAACAGUUAUUAAUUACCUGAAUACAUAGGGUUUUUAAAGCAAACCUGGGGAACUGAAACAUCUAAGUACCCAGAGGAAAGGAAAUCAAUAGAUACUCCCGUAGUAGUGGCGAGCGAACCGGGACCAGCCGAGCAAUGAAUGUGACUAGAACCAGUUGGAAAGCUGGGCGAUAUGGGUGACAGCCCCGUAUAGGAAGCAUGAUUUGACGUAUUAAGUAGGGCGGAACACGUGAAAUUCUGUCUGAACAUGGGGGGACCACCCUCUAAGGCUAAGUACUCCU